CCUACGGGUGGCAGCAGUGAGGAAUAUUGGUCAAUGGACGCAAGUCUGAACCAGCCAUGCCGCGUGCAGGAAGACGGCUCUAUGAGCUGUAAACUGCUUUUGCACGAGGGUAAACGCAGAUACGCGUAUCUGUCUGAAAGUACCGUACGAAUAAGGAUCGGCUAACUCCGUGCCAGCAGCCGCGGUAAUACGGAGGAUUCAAGCGUUAUCCGGAUUUAUUGGGUUUAACGGGUGCGUAGGCGGUCGGGUAAGUCAGAGGUGAAAUCCCGAGGCUCAACCUCGGCAUUGCCUCUGAUACUGGUUGGCUAGAGAGUAGUAGCGGUAGGCGGAAUGUAUGGUGUAGCGGUGAAAUGCUUAGAGAUCAUACAGAACACCGAUUGCGAAGGCAGCUUACCAAGCUACUUCUGACGUUGAGGCACGAAAGCGUGGGGAGCAAACAGGAUUAGAUACCCGAGUAGUC
rnacentral:rRNA from 1 species